GUGUCAUUAUUAACAGAAAUAGAAAGAAAAUCCUAAAAUUCAUAUGCAAUCAAAAAAGAGCCAGAACAGCCACAGCAAUCCUGCAUAAAAAGAACAAAGCUGGAGGCCUUACACUGCGUGACUUCAAAAUAUAUUACAAAACUAUAGUAACCAAAAAAGCAUGGUAUUGUUAUAAAAAUAGAUACUUAAACCAGUGCAACAGAACCCAGAAAUAAAUCCACACAUUUAUAGUCAACUGAUCUUUUGAUAAAGCCAUCAAGAACAGACACUGGAAAAGGACACCCUCUUCAAUAAGUGAUUCUAGGAAAACUGGAUAAUCAUAUACAGAAGAAUGAAAAAUAGGCAAAUGGAACUACAUUAAACUAAACAGCUUCUAUACAGCAAAGAAAAUAGU
rnacentral:lncRNA from 1 species